ACUAAGCUAUUACUAAUCGAUUUUCUAUAAUCGUUAGUAAGCAAUUAUGUAAUUACUAUAUUAGUAAUAUAUUACGUAAUCUUAUUCUUAUAAAAUUCUUAUAUAAGCUAUUCUUUAUUUUAAUAAAGAAAGUAUUAUAUCCUCUCUACGAUACUUUCUUUACAAAUAUAUACUAAAAAUCCUAACUUUAGAAGAGAUAUAUUUAUUAGAUAAAAAACUAAUACUUUUUAAAGCUUUAUAGUAAUUUAUAAUAACUUUAUAAAUUAUAUAGCUUUAUACUAGUAAUAUUUUAUUUAAAUUUCUACUUUAUUAACUUUUAAUAGUAAGGUAUUAGCUUACUAUAGUUUUAAUAAGUAAUAGAGAAUUAAGGUUUAAUUCUAGAGAGGGAGCUUAAGAAAUAGCUACUAUAUUUAAGAAAGAUAGUAGGCCCGUAAAUUACCUAAUCUUAAUGUAGAGAGGUAGUAAUAAUAAAUACUAAUAUAGAGCUCUUUUAGGUCUUAUAAUUAGAAUAAGUAUAAUUUAAACCUCUUAAUAAGGAAUAAUUAGAGAGUAAGUUUAGUACUAGUAACUAUAGUAAUUCUAGCUCUAAUAGUGUAUAUUAAAGUUAUUAUAGUUAAAAAGCUUAUAGUUAAAACUUAGGUCUAGCUAGCGGGUCUAUUUUACUAUGUAUACUUAUCUAGCUAGGCCUUUCUUCUAAAGAACUUUAUACUCUUUACUAGUUAUAUUAGAGAAUUAGGACUUUUACUUUAAAAAAAUUAGAGUAUUUAAAGUAGGCCUUUACUUAAAUAUAUUAGUAUAAAAUAAUAAAAUAGAGUAUAUAUUUCUAUUUUAUUAGUUUCUAGAGAUAUUAUAAUAAUUAAUAGAAAUAGUUAGAAGUAUUAGUAUUUAGUUAUUAAAGGUAAAAUUCUUAGAUUUACUAAAGACUAACUACUAUAAAAAUAUUUACUAAGAAUAUUUUUAUUAAUUAGUAAAUAAAAGUUAGGGGAUUAAAGAUAAUUAGAUACUAUUAUAGUCUUAACUAUAAACUAUACUAAUUAGAGAUUAAGUAAUAUUCUUUUUCUAACUUACUUAGCACUUUAUAAGAAAUUAAAGUUUUUAAGUUCUAGAGAGAUUAUAGUUAUAAGGCUAAAACUUAAAGAAAUUAAUAAAAAGUUAUUACUAGGCGUAGAGCCUAUAGCUUAAUUUUACUUAAUAUAGAGAAACUUACUAGGUCUAGAUAAAAUAAGAAUUAAUAGAUUAAGAGCUCUUUCUUAAUUUUUUAGGUAGUAGUAUAUAGCUAUUCUUAAUUUAUAGAGUAACUUAUUUACUUAAUUAUAAUAAUAAGUAAGACUUUACUUUACUAAAUAGCUAGGCUAGCUUUAGCUAGUCGCUAGCUUCUUAGAGAAACUAUUAACUUAAGUUAAUAGAAGUUUAAAGUAAUAAUAGGUUAACCUAUAUAGGCCUAUAAUAUUAGGCCUUAUUAAAGAUAACUACUAGUCUAAUAUCUUAACUUUCUUUAAGGAAGUCCUCUACUAUUAAGAGAAAGUAAGUCUCUUUUUUAGAGGCUUAUAAUAUAAGUAAUACUACCUAGUAUAGAGAAUAUUAGACCUACUAUUAUAUUUAUAAGUUAGCUAAUCCUAUAAUAAGCUAAAGUAACGUUUAGCUAUUAUAACGCGCGGAA
rnacentral:rRNA from 1 species